rnacentral:rRNA from 1 species
CACCAAGAAAUUAAGUCAUAUAUCUACGGUAAAAAGACAGUUAAAUGUUUAAUUUAUUAGGUUAACUUAAUGCUUUAUAUAGAAGUAAAAUUUAAGUAUAAUUGUAUAAUUUGUUAGUGACUUAGAGAUUGAAUCUGUGAAAUCCUUAAGGGAAACUGGGAUUAGGUACCCCAUUAUUUUUGGAUAUAAAUCAAUGAUAUUUACCGGAGUACUAUGAAUACUAAAAAUUUAAAACUCAAAGAACUUGGCGGUGUUUUAGACCACUUAGGGGAACCUGUCUCAUAAUCGAUAAUCCACGAUAUACCUGACCUUUUUUUGUAAUCAGUUUGUAUACCGUUGUCGUCAGGUAACUUUUUAGAAAUUAGAAGUUAGCAAUUGGAAUAGAUAUGAUAAUUCGUCACGUCAAAUCAAGGUGCAGCUAAUAAAGAGGGGAGGAUGGGUUACAAUUAUAUAAUUAUAAUAACGGAGGGAUAUAUGAAGUUUGUAUCAACUGUAAGGUGGACUUAAAAGUAAAUUAAAUUAUAUAGAUAAUUUGAAUAAGGCUCUGAAACGUGU